UUUACAAUUUUUAAUAAAAAUAUUUAUUACAUUAUUUAUUUUUUAAUUUAAAUAAAAACUGAAAAGGAAAAAUAAUUUUUUUAAAAGAAAUUUAAUGUUCUUUUUGUAUCAAGAAUUAUUAAAUAAAUUACCUUAUAAUAAUAUCCCGAAAUAUUAAGAUCUAUAAAUAUUUCUAAUUAUUAUCACAUAAAUACAAUAAAAAUAUUUUUAGAAAUUAAACGUUUUUCGACUAAUAUAAUAUCUGGUUUUUUAAAAAUAAAAAUAUUUAUAUUAUAUUUUAAAGACUAAUCUUUAAUAUAUAUUUAAUUAAAAAUACUCAUUAAAAAGGAAUAAAAGUACCAAAAAGUAUUAAAACUAAAAUAUUACUAAUUCAAAUAAUAAUAUUAAAAAUCAAUUACUAAUAUUAUAUAAUAAUAAUAUAAGUAAAUUCUUUACAAUAUAUUUUAUUAACUCGGCCUAUAUUAAAUGACUGUUUAUCAAAAACAUUUCUAAUAGCUCUGAUUAUUAGUAAAAUCUGCUCAAUGAAUAUUAAAUAGCCGCAAUUUUAUUGUGCUAAGGUAGCAUAAUCAUUUGUCUUUUAAUUAAAGACUAGAACGAAAGAUUUAACAUUUUAAUAACUAUAAUCAUAUAAAUAUUAAAUUUAUUUUAAAUAUAAAAAAAUAUUUAUUAAUAAAAAAGACGAUAAGACCCUAUUGAACUUAACUAAAGUUAAACUGGGGCAGUUAAUUAAAAAUAAUUUUAACUUUAAAUUUUAAUAAAAUGACCUAAAACAUUUAAUUAAAUGAAAAAGUUACCAUAGGGAUAACAGCGUAAUAAUUUUUCAAAGAUCUUAUAUAAAAAAUUGUUUACGACCUCGAUGUUGAAUUAAUAAUCUAUUAUACGAAAAAAUAUAAUAAGAAAGUCUGUUCGACUUUUAAUAAAUUACAUGAUUUGAGUUCAGACCGGUGUAAGCCAGGUCGGUUUCUAUCUUUUACAUAAAUAUAUACAGUACGAAAGGACCUAUAUAAUUAUUUAUAAU
rnacentral:rRNA from 1 species